rnacentral:rRNA from 1 species
GACGAACGCUGGCGGUGCGCCUAACACAUGCAAGUCGAACGGAGCUGAGAGAAGCUUGCUUUUCUUAGCUUAGUGGCGAACGGGUGAGUAACGCGUGAGUAACCUGCCCUGGAGUGGGGGACAACAGUUGGAAACGACUGCUAAUACCGCAUAAGCCCACGAUCCGGCAUCGGAUUGAGGGAAAAGGAUUUAUUCGCUUCAGGAUGGACUCGCGUCCAAUUAGCUAGUUGGUGAGGUAACGGCCCACCAAGGCGACGAUUGGUAGCCGGACUGAGAGGUUGAACGGCCACAUUGGGACUGAGACACGGCCCAGACUCCUACGGGAGGCAGCAGUGGGGGAUAUUGCACAAUGGGGGAAACCCUGAUGCAGCGACGCCGCGUGGAGGAAGAAGGUUUUCGGAUUGUAAACUCCUGUCGUUAGGGACGAUAAUGACGGUACCUAACAAGAAAGCACCGGCUAACUACGUG